rnacentral:rRNA from 1 species
AGGGAAAGUUGAAAAGCACUUUGAAGAGAGAGUUCAAGAGUACGUGAAACCGUUCAGGGGUAAACCUGAGAAACCCGAAAGGUCGAAAGGGGAAAUUCAUUCGCGUUUCGAUUGUUUGCGUGAAGUGGUUGCGGGACGGACGCUUCGGCUGGUACGACCCUUCCGUUUUACGACAGGCGUCGAACGCGUGCACUUUUCCCCUAGUAGGACGUCGCGAUCCGUUGGGUGUCGGUCUAAGGCUUGCGGUGGAGCCCUGGCGGCUUUUGUCGCUAGGACCCGCGAUGUUUCCCGACCGACUCGCUCGACGGUAUACAGAUGGCGCAGAGCCGCGACUCAGUUCGCGUUCGACCCGUGGCAAGCGCGCUCGAUGUGCUGGCGAUCGGACCUAGCGCCGGUCCUGGCCUCGAGCGACUGUUGGCUACGGAGUUCUCGAACAGACUCUGUUUUUGAAACGCCGAUCUGCGGCGCUAUAGCUUUGGGUACUUUCAGGACCCGUCUUGAAACACGGACCAAGGAGUCUAGCAUGUGCGCGAGUCAUUGGGACACAACUAAACCUAAAGGCGCAAUGAAAGUAAAGGUCAGCCUUGCGUUGGCCGAGGGAGGAUGAGCGGUUCGCCCUUAAAGUGGCCGCUCCGCACUCCCGGGGCGUCUCGUUCUCAUUGCGAGAAGAGGCGCACCAAGAGCGUACACGCUGGGACCCGAAAGAUGGUGAACUAUGCCUGGUCAGGACGAAGUCAGGGGAAACCCUGAUGGAGGUCCGUAGCGAUUCUGACGUGCAAAUCGAUCGUCGGAACUGGGUAUAGGGGCGAAAGACUAAUCGAACCUUCUAGUACUUUAGUGA